GACAUGUGGGGCAAGCGUUGUUCGGAAUCACUGGGCAUAAAGGGUGCGUAGGCGGCUUGUUAAGUCAGAGGUGAAAGUUUUCGGCCCAACCGGAAAAUGGCCUUUGAUACUGGCGAGCUGGAGUGCGUGAGGGGUGACUGGAACGAGUGGUGUAGCGGUGAAAUGCGUAGAUAUCACUCGGAAGGCCAAAGGCGAAGGCAGGUCACUGGUACGCAACUGACGCUGAGGCACGAAAGCGUGGGGAGCAAACAGG
rnacentral:rRNA from 1 species